UACGUAGGGUGCGAGCGUUGUCCGGAAUUAUUGGGCGUAAAGAGCUCGUAGGCGGUGUGUCACGUCGGCCGUGAAAACCUGCAGCUUAACUGUGGGCGUGCGGUCGAUACGGGCAUCACUGGAGUUCGGCAGGGGAGACUGGAAUUCCUGGUGUAGCGGUGAAAUGCGCAGAUAUCAGGAGGAACACCGGUGGCGAAGGCGGGUCUCUGGGCCGAUGCUGACGCUGAGGAGCGAAAGCGUGGGGAGCGAACAGG
rnacentral:rRNA from 1 species